rnacentral:lncRNA from 1 species
AGAGUGUUCCAGUCAAAGGCAAGUCAAGGUGGAGAUUUGUGGGUUUAUGACUCACCUUUACCGUUAUCUUGGCAUAAAUGGGAGGUUAAUUGCCACAAUCAAUUGCAAUCAAUAGGAGGUUAAUUGCCGCAAUCAAUUGCAAUCAAUGGGAGGUUAAUUGCCGCAAUCAAUUACAAUCAAUGGGAGGUUAAUUACCAUUAAUUGUAUUUAUUAUUGUUGUCUCCUAGAACCACUAUAUAUAGUGGCUUCCUUCAAGCAAUGUAACACACUACAAACAAGCAACUCACACUUGCUUCCUCUCUCUUCUCAUAUACACUCUAUUUUUGUUCUUGGGUGUAAGUGUUUAACCCAUAUAGAGAGGAUUUGUUUUAGGGCUCUUUAUCUAUUAGUC